rnacentral:rRNA from 1 species
CCUACGGGAGGCAGCAGUAGGGAAUCUUCCACAAUGGGCGAAAGCCUGAUGGAGCAACGCCGCGUGGGUGAAGAAGGUCUUCGGAUCGUAAAACCCUGUUGUUAGAGAAGAAAGUGCGUGAGAGUAACUGUUCACGUUUCGACGGUAUCUAACCAGAAAGCCACGGCUAACUACGUGCCAGCAGCCGCGGUAAUACGUAGGUGGCAAGCGUUAUCCGGAUUUAUUGGGCGUAAAGGGAACGCAGGUGGUCUUUUAAGUCUUAUGUGAAAGCCUUCGGCUUAACCGGAGUAGUGCAUUGGAAACUGGGAGACUUGGGUGCAGAAGAGGAGGGUGGACCUCCAUGUGUCGCGGUCAAUUGCGUAGAUCUAUGGAAGAACACCAGUGGCGACAGCGGCUCUCUGGUCUGUAACUGACGCUGAGGUUCGAACGCGUGGGUCGCAAACAGGAUUAGCUACCCCCUAGUC